rnacentral:rRNA from 1 species
UACGUAGGGGGCGAGCGUUGUCCGGAAUUACUGGGCGUAAAGAGCGCGUAGGCGGCGCGGUGCAUCCGCUGUGAAAGCCUCCGGCUCAACUGGGGGAGGCCAGCGGCGAUGGCCGCGCUGUGAGGGUGGUAGAGGCAGGUGGAAGUCCCGAAGUAGUGGUGAAAUGCGUAGAGAUCGGGAGGAACACCAGUGGCGAAGGCGGCCUGCUGGGCCACGCCUGACGCUGAGGCGCGAAAGCCAGGGGA